rnacentral:rRNA from 1 species
AUUGAACGCUGGCGGCAUGCCUUACACAUGCAAGUCGAACGGUAACAGGUCUUUCGGGAUGCUGACGAGUGGCGAACGGGUGAGUAAUACAUCGGAACGUGCCUAGUAGUGGGGGAUAACUACUCGAAAGAGUGGCUAAUACCGCGUGAGAUCUACGGAUGAAAGCAGGGGACCUUCGGGCCUUGUGCUACUAGAGCGGCCGAUGGCAGAUUAGGUAGUUGGUGGGAUAAAAGCUUACCAAGCCUACGAUCUGUAGCUGGUUUGAGAGGACGAACAGACACACUGGGACGGAGACACGGCCCAGACUCCUACGGGAGGCAGCAGUGGGGAAUUUUGGACGAUGGGCGCAAGCCUGAUCCAGCAAUGCCGCGUGCAGGAUGAAGGCCUUCGGGUUGUAAACUGCUUUUGUACGGAACGAAAAGUCUUGGGUUAAUACCCUGGGAUCAUGACGGUACCGUAAGAAUAAGCACCGGCUAACUACGUGCCAGCCGCCGCCGUAA